rnacentral:lncRNA from 1 species
CGACAAAUGUCGAUUUGAUAUACGUGUACGUUUUAUGUUAAGAAUACUUAAUAUUCUUAUAAUGUGGAAAUUGAAUUUACAUUAAGUUUCAAGGUUCCCUUCAAAGGCCUUCUCCACUUCACAUAAUUUGAUAACUAUGUAUAAAAGGUUGAUUGUAUAACAAACACAUUAAUUGACAAGUCUCAAUAGGAUAACCAAGUAAGAAGGUGUGUAUUUUUAUACUUUUGUAUAAUUUAAUGUUAAGGAUAAUUUUCUCUGUAAAUCAAUGCCUCUAUUAGGUUUAUUUUACAUGUUCGUUUAUGUUCCGUGUAAGAAUAUAUCUGGCGAUGUCGGAAAGGGGUGGGGGUAGAGGGAAAUGUGAUCAUUAUUUUCUUCUAUAACUGUCACCAGGAACGGUACACAUGGACGAGACCAAAAGUUUGGGAUGGAAAAUGUAUAAAAUAUGUAUAGAUAUGGGUCAUUUUCAAAAAAUGUCGAAUUUUGAAAUUGAAAAAUUUAUUAAAAGUUACUUAUUCAAACAACCCUCUACAUAAGCAAAUCAACAAACGGUACUUUAAAACAACAUAAUUAAAAGAUGCAAUCUUAAUGAUGUCAUAAAAGAAUAUCUUGAAACAUUUUUUGAUCGGUAGUACAAUAUUUUGUCUAUCCUGUUACCAUUUUCAAAAGAAAUUUUGGGUUAUUAAGAACAGGUUUAGAUAAAAUGUUAAGCUUGUUUUACGUUACCAAUUAGAUGGUUUUCAAGAGAAUAAACUUCUAUAUAUAUUCAUUCUGUAAAAUAAUAGAUUAUUUGCCAAUUUUCUAGGUUUUACUGAAAAAUGGCUCUAAAAUUGGUUAAAAGUAAUGCAAGUCUAAGAUAGCAAUUUAUCUUGUUCGGUCUUUUUUCACCCUUUCAAAUAAACCCAACAUCAAGUAAAUCCCUCAUAAGUUAAUUUACUUUUCUCUUUAUUUCGUUGGUAACAGUAACGUACGUUUCUGGUAUAUCAUAUAUAAAAGUCUAUCCUGUUACCUUUUUGUCUAUUGUACCGAUAUCAGUAUUGCACCUGCAAAUGCUUAAUUGGGAAGAUAAAGACGUUAUAACCUUAAGAUGAGUUCAAACAAUGAAAUAAUUCAUUCGUUUUCCACCUACAUGUUAAGAUAAAAAUAUUAACGACGUUUUUUUGUCUAUAAUUGUCUAUCCUGUUACUGUAACCAUAGCAACCAUAGUAACAGGAUAGACAUAACAGGAUAACAAUUUCUUCGUUUUUGAUUGCUGUUGUGAAAUAACUACCCCUUUGGUGAAGUGAUUAUGGUUUCUAUUGUGAAUUUGGUUUCCACACGUUAUUGCACUUUUUACAACCAUACUUUAGUGUAAUUAUCAAAAUGGUUGUAACAGCACAGACAUGAAAAAAGUACGCUCUAUUUUUUUUCACUAAAUGUCUUGAAAUUUCUUUUCUCUACACUGUCGUUCAAGAACGAGCGUUUUAAAUGUAAAGUUACUUUGCAUUUUUGAAAUCAACACUGACUGAUUUCAAUAUUCAUAGGAGAAUAAUUUAACGACUGAUUUAAGUAGCGGUAACAGGAUAGAUACCUCCUGUACGCUGAUUGAAUUUAGUUUGUAGAUAAUCUGUUACAUACAAUGAUAAAGAAGCUACGAAAAAUCGUUAGAAUUAUAAUUAACGUUCUUAAUAAGUCCCGUUUGCAGAUAUCAAGGCGAUCAGAAAAUCGGAAAAAAAUCAUUUGAAAUGUGUUUUUCUAACAAUGUACGCACACAAAUACCCCCAAAUCGGACUUAAAUGCAGUUUAAUCUUAUCAAAAUAGAUGUAAGGUGUGUUUAUUAUUAAUGUUCUGAAUCACAAAUCCGACAAGCUUUCAUUUAAACCAUUACAACUGAAAUUUCCAUUAGAAAUAACAUUUUUAGCAUGGGUGUACUGAAAAUUCGACAUUUUUUGAAAAUGACCCAUAUAUAAAAAAAAAGUUGCCAUAUCAUAUCAACGAAACAAAUUCCUUUUUUUUUAAUUUUUGUUAUACGGGUAUUUACUGCAAAACUAGAUGGAAAUUUGUUUAUCCCAUAAAUGUGGAAGAAGUACAAAAUUUAUGACUUUCUUUCUAGUCUAUUGUUUAUUAAGUAUUAUUUUGUCACAACCGUGCUUGGCAGUCUUCAUUAGUAUGGCGUUCAUUAUCACUGAACUAGUAUAUAUAUUUGUUUAGGGGCCAGCUGAAGGACGCCUCCGGGUGCGGGAAUUUCUCGCUACAUUGAAGACCUGUUGGUGACCUGCUGUUGUUUAUUUUUUUUCUAUGGUCGGGUUGGUGUCUCUUUGACACAUUCCCCAUUUCCAUUCUCAAUUUUAUUCAGUCUUCAAAGUAAUGUAAUGGCGCGAUGGAGAAAUGGUACACAUUGCUCGUUAAAGUAUAUAUAUUAUCUAAGUGUUUAACAGUUUCCGGUAAUUAUAAUUUCUUAUUCAGGUUAUUGUAGUAUGCGUUAUCUUAAGUUCGCUGGGAUAUGUUUGAGAUGUAGAUUAUAAAGUAUAACAAAAAUAGCAACUCCAUUGUAAAUUUAAAAAAAUGAAAAGUCCAUAAAAACUGACCAAAUCAAUCGUUAACAACAAAUGGAUCGGAAAUAAACACAAUUUUAUUUUAAAACCAUUUGAUGGCAUGACACAGGUUAUGUUCAUAUAUUUUAUGUAGGUAUGAUACUAAAUCCCUAACGAGAGGAAUUGCUCUUGAUAUUUAUAUGAUGAAGACAUAAUCUUUUAAUCAGUUCAAUUGAGGCCUGGAGCUGGCAUGACAGCAACAGGGAAAUAAUAUGAUAACUUGAUUUUGUCAUUCCAAAUUCUUAUUCUUUUAGUACCGUGACAAAUAAGGUAAUUUGAAAAUUUAAUGGACCGAAAUACCUCACGGCUAAUUUUUGUCAUAUUUUGUAGAUAAAUAUAAUAUCCUUUGAUUAAGGCAUGUCGUAGAGUGCCAAAGUGGUGCAGAUUUUUGAAAACUGCAUUCAAAAGUCAAAAGGGGGGUUGUUGAAAAAUCGAAUAUUUGAGACAUUUUGGACUCCUUAAAUAAGCGACUUUUUUCGAUUUGUCACUCCACUAUUUUAAAUCUCUUCCAAAAACUGUCUUGAUUAACAUUAAAUCCCGCCACGUGUGUAAAAUUCAGUAAAAACAUAUGCAUAUUUAACACAUUUGCUUAGUCUAUUUAUCUGUUUAGAUAUAAAGUGUAUCACAAGAUUCUAAAUAAAUAUGGUCGUUAUAUUAUAGGUCAAGUACAAUCAUUUAGUUCAAGAUAAUGUUUGUUAUUCUUUUCGUUUUAAGGUUAUCCUUUAAGAACGUACAACAAGAGUUUUCGACAUAUUUUCACAACUGAUAAAAAUGCAAACUAUUCAGUUCACCUCUCCAUUUUGCUUACUUUGAAUGGCAUAAUAUCUUACUAGAACAUAUACUUCUGCAUGCAUGAACAAUUUAAGUAAAACUAUCCAUUAAUGGACCUUGAAAAUUAGAUCAAAGAACUAUAUAUCGAUCACCGAAGAGGACGCUAGUUUUUGUAAUGAAUACUUCCCUUUAUAUUAAAAAGCUUUUAUUUUAUAACGUUGUAUCCAAAUUUGUAUUCAUAUAUGUUUGUCUCGAGCAUCACUGAAGAGAAAAUAAUAAUCGAAAUGUGCAUCUGGUACAUUGGAAUUGGUACCGUUAAUGUGAUACUUAAUGUCAAGCCUGAAAUCUCUGAUGCGUUCAUUUCUUGCCAUUUGGUCUAUACCUCUACUGUUGGACUUUUAGUUUCUGAUGUUAUCAACAGCCCAAUAGCCAAAACACCGGUAUGGGCAUUCCCAUACGUAUUUUGUUUAUUGCAACUGAUUGUUAUAUUUUUUUGGUAUAUCAUCCAAAAUAAAGUAAUGCAUCUCCCUCGUGCAUAUAUAGCUCUAAUUCUUUAUCGGGGUCAUAUACAAUUUUUGUUUCGUUUUGGUUUGAUCAGCACUUCAAUGUUUUUUUUUAUUAAACUUCGGAUUUUCACAUUGUUUGGUUCUAUCAUUCCUGAAGAGAUAUUAGAAGUCGAACUACGCAUAUGGUUAUUGUAUUAAAAGAAAGUCGAGAGAUACCAAAGGUAUAUUCAAACUCAAAAGUCAAAAACAAACUGACAAAUUCAUUGUAAAAAAAAUGACUAAAAGACAAUCAACAGUACACAUAACACAACAUAGAAAACCAAAGACCGAGAAAGACGAACUCUACCAAAUCCAGGAGUGGUCUCAGAUACUCAGGGAGGAUAUGGAUGCCUUACUCCAUUUUUUGUAACCGUCUUAUUAAGUUCUACAUUGAAGACAUUCCUACAACUGUCUAUAUAAACAACAUAUCUUUGCUAUUUUUGUUGUAGCUUUUUAUAAAAUUAACAACAUUUGUUUCGUUUCAUCCUUUUCUUGUUUUUAAUCGAAGUCUGUCUUCUAUACUGAGAUGAUAUUCCAUGCUCGUGUUUGAUGUGUCACAUGUAUCAGUUACGAUUCAUUAAGUGUUUAAACUGAAUUUUUCUAACUUAUUUCCGGUAGAUAUAUGAAGUGCUUAUUAAGUAAUCUUUAAAUACAAUAAAUGGUCGACCCCAUACUUUAUUAUACAUAAAGUACACGCUUUUAUUUUAGGAAAAUUGUGGUAUUGCUAUCUUUGUAUACUUAUAUACUGUUAAGAUUCGUAUUCGCUGAAACCUUCUGUUAAUCCUUGAAAAUUGUUGAAAGAAUCUUCUCAUAUUCACCCCUUGAAAGACAUGGUGUUAAAGCUUCCCUACAAGUAGUAACCCAUGAUCCAUGACAUCAAGAUUGGGAUAUAUGUAGCGUACAUAAUAACUAAACUUAGAAUCAUUCUGUGAAAUGGUCAUCAUUUAUAUAGCGAAAGGUAAAGGUAAUUGAUAACCAGUUAUCCUCUUUAAUUUGCUCAUAGAGAAGCGUCUGUGUAGAGACUGCCUAAUACGAAUAAAAGAACAAGUCGGUGAUCACAGUUGCAUAAUGAAUGACCGAAUUGAAGUGAUUUCUAAUAUUAAAACUAUCAUUUGUCCCUUCAAGAAGAUUUUAGUUGACCAUUCUGUUUUUAUGAACAAGAAUUGAUUGUCGGGGUCCGAUUAUACACUGAUAAACGGAAUUAUUGCUACUUGGUUGACGAAUUGCUUGUCGUGCUUCUAUGUUCCGCUAGAUUGACGAUUUGCUUGUCGUUGUCUGACAGUCCACUACGUUAACGGAUUAAGUACCGUGGUUCUAUGUUCCGUUAGAUAGUAGGUUUACUUGUCGUUGUCUGAUAGUCCAUUACGUUAACGGAUUGAGUACCGUGGUUCUAUGUUCCGUCAAAUAGUAGGUUUGCUUGUAGUUGUAUAAUAUUCAAUAACGUUAGUGUUCGAUAUUCCUUUAGAUUGGUGGAUUUCUUGUCGUGGGCUGAUAGUCCCAUACCCGUAGCCAGGGGGUUCGGGGGGUUCGGACGACCCCCCCCCCCUUGAAAUCAAAUAAGCACUGUUUAAAUCAGCGUUUUGUUCAAAUUGUGACUGUUAACAGUCGAGUUCAUGAGUCUAACGAACCCCCCCCCCUUGAAAAUUCCUGGCUACGGGCCUGAGUCCCGUAGGUAAACGAAUUGAUUGCCAUGAUUUGAUUCGAUAUUACUUUAGAUUAUCAAUAGAUUGCAUGUCCAUGACAAAAAAUGUUGUCCAAAUCCGACUUUUAAAAAGUUUUACGAAUCGAUUGUUGUGGUUUGAUAUCCCGUUAGUGUAUGGAUUGAUUCUUUUUAACAGAUGGCAGCACCAAUUACCACACAACCGCAACCCCAGCCUGGGAGCUUGCUUGUCUCAACAGUUCAUGGUCAUCGAAACUGGUCCACUGGUAUUUUUGACUGUUUCACAGAUAUCAAAACAUGUAAGAAAAACGUUAAUGUACAAAGUCUUAUAACAAAUUCGUAUAUGUAUUUUAAAAUAUUUUUUUGAAAGUACAAUGAUAAAUUGAAGAAUUGCAAAAAUAUUUUUUGUCUUGCGGAUAAUUUCAAUAUCAACAAAUGUUUCACUAUGUUUCACUAUUUAAUGACAGCCUUGUAACUGAUGUAUGCUCGAGACCAAAAGUGGCGAAAGCAAGAUACUAUAAUAAUGAUAACAUCUGAAAAGAUAAAAUCAAUACAAUCUUGAUUUUUGUAUAAAUACACUGUACCAUAAGAUAAUGUUUUGUUUUUAUAGUGAUCAAUAUUAUAACUCAAUGUUUACUGCUGAUACAGCAUGUUUUUGACAUUUUGACCUAUUAUGUCAGUUUGUCUUGUUAACACAUUAUUGUUAUCAAUUUAAUAAAAAUGUAUGGACUGUCAUACAAUUGAGAGGUAGUGCUAGCUAGCUACAAAACGAGAUUUACUUUUCUAUUUUCUACAUGAGAAAAUGCUUGUACCAAGUCAGGAUGACAGUUGUUGUCCAUUCGUUUUUUAUGUGUUUUGUCAUUUUAUUUUGCCAUGUGAUUAGGGACUUUCCGAUUUUAUUUUACUCGGAGUUCAGUAUUUUUGCGGUUUUACUUUUUUUCCAUUUGUUUGAUGUGUUUGAACUUUUGAUUUUCCCUUUGAUAAGGGACUUUGCGAUUUGAAUGUUCCUUGGGGUUUUUGUAUUUUUGUACGUGUUUCCAAAAUAUAUUUUGUAUUUUUUCAUUGUUUUGACAUAAUGACUCGACGUUGCUAUAUAAAGAAAGGAUAGUGACACCAUGUUACUAAAAUAGUAACAUAGCCUUAAUAUCAUUUUCAAAAACAGUAACAUAGCGUUAAUAUCAUUUCCAAAAAUAGUAGCAUAGCGUUAAUAUCAUUUCCAAAACUAGUUACAGGCUUAAUGAAAAAUACUUCUUCUAGUGAAAAGUAAAAACACAAAAAUACUGAACUCCGAGGAAAAUUCAAAAAGGAAAAUCAAAAAUCAAAAGGCAAAAUCAAAAGUCCAAGCACAUCAAACGAAUGGAUAACAACUGUCAUAUUCCUGACUUGGUACAGGCAUUUUCUAAUGUAGAAAAUGGUGGAUUGAUUCGGUAUUCAUUCAUCUGUGUUCUUGAUAAAGCGUUAUAUACACAUUUAAUUCAUAUUUUUCUUUCCAUAUUAUAAAUACAACAUUAUGAAACACACAUUUAGUAUGUGAUAGGCAUAACACGUAACGAUACGUAUUAACAUACUUUAAAAUCAUGUUCAACACAGAAAACAAUUGUCCGAAUAUAUACAUAAACCGAAACCGAAACACAAACAUGCAUCGAAGUAAGGAAUUUCUUUUGUCAUGCAAAUAAGCAGAUCUAGGGAAACAUAGAUAUACAGCAGAAUUGUCAGAAUUGUUUUUUUAGGUUGCAGGUAUUAUAUCGUGGUUCCAUUUGCACUGCAUGACAUGUAAUCUAUCUGUCAGAAUUGUUUUAUUAUAUUGCAGGUAUUAUAUCGUGGUUCUGUUUGCCAUGCAUGACAUGUAAUAUAUCAGGCAGAUUUGUUUAUUGUGUUUGAAUGCCAUUUUAUUAUUAUUUUGCAGGUAUUAUAUCGUGGUUCUGUUUGCCAUGCAUGACAUGUAAUCUUUCAGGCAGACAAGGUGAUUGUGCUUGUAUGCCAUUUUGUGUGCCUGGUGGGUCUAUUACCAUGAGAUCUAGAAUCAGAACACUUGGUGGAAUUCAGGUGAGAAUUUGCAGUUGCCUGUCAUGUUUAAUUGUUUAAUUCUGAUAUUUAAUGGGAUAGAAAUUCAUUGGACGAUACAUUCUGGAUUAUUUUCACUUGAAGAACUAUAAAAUCAUGGUUUAAAACAAAGUUAUAUAUAUAUUGAAAUAUUUUAAAGUAUUGUUUAAUUUUUCUUGAUUCUCAUUGGUUUAUUUGGUCACGUGUUUCCAAAAUAUAUUUUGUAUUUUUUCAUUGUUUUGACAUAAUGACUCGACGUUGCUAUAUAAAGAAAGGAUAGUGACACCAUGUUACUAAAAUAGUAACAUAGCCUUAAUAUCAUUUUCAAAAAACAGUAACAUAGCGUUAAUAUCAUUUCCAAAAAUAGUAGCAUAGCGUUAAUAUCAUUUCCAAAACUAGUUACAACGAGUCAAUAUCGUUUAAAAACCCACGCUAUGGUCUACAUGUGCAAUAAAUGUUAGGGGCAGUGCAACAACUCCAAGAUCCUAUCUUUCAAACAAUUUCAAUCUAACUGGACUUGUUUGCUUUGGAUAGCUGUCCAUAUCAAAGAAAAUCCUUCACUAUUAGCCAAAAAGUCGGCAUGUUUCUUUCUGUAAAAAGUUAUCAAAAAUCAUGAACGACUGUACACCAACUGUCAUAUAUCCGACUUGGUACAGGUAACAAACAUAAAAAAGUCAUAUAGACAAAGCAAGUUAGCAAAAUUGAAAGAUAAAAAUGUAAAAAUUAUCACAGAAAAAUGACUGGAUGUAUAAUUACAGAGCCAUGUCUUACUCGAACUGUUUUUGAGGUAUAUUAUUAUCGUAAACUGAUACUACAUCUAAUAUUAAAAAAUGAUAUGUUAUGAUAUUUUUAUCAUAUGAUUCAACGAUUGCCUGUGAAUAAUGUAAAUUUGCAUUUUUUUUUUUGGCAGUGAAUUACUUACUAGUUAUUCCAUCAUUACAAUACUUUUUUUUUUAAUUUCAGGGUACUGUGUGCAAUGACUGUCUCGUGAUGCAGUUUUGUGGUCCAUGUGCAAUUUGUCAGAUGUCUAGAGAACUUGACAAUAUGGGCAUUCCAUAAUCAAGACAGACAAAUUCAAAUGAUAACAUUGAAACAACAUAUAGACAAAAAUCGUAUUUUGAUAACAUUUUAGACUCAUAAGAGCUUAUACUGCUCUUCAAACAUGUUUAUUAUAAAUCUUAUUCAAUCUUUUUGUGAUUGAAGGCAUAUAUAUUUCAUUUUUAAUAUUUUGUUUUGUUUUGACUUUUCUAUUUUCUUGUAUUAUUCGUCAACAUUAAAAAUAUAUUCAUUGGACCGACCUAUUAAAAAGUUUGUAUUUCACAAUUCAUCGAUAGGAACAACUCGAUAAUUUAUAAUGUGUCCCUAAAAAAUUCUUAAGUGCCAUUUAAAAUUUAGCAUGUUCUGUCUGUGACCUACAAUGUGUUACUGAGGUAAAUCAUUCAGUCCGAAAACGCCUCAAUGGACAGGAGAGAUAGAAAGUCGUUUCUUCAAUGGACACAAUACUAAAGUGGUCAUGCCACAAUCUCAAUGACAAGUUUAUGCCACAAUCUCAAUGACAAGUUUUUCAAUAAACAGAGCUCCGAUUAUGCAAUAAUGCUCCAAAAAGACCCCUGCACAGAAUAGAAAGAAGCAGAAUUACCGAUUGAAAUUAUACCUAGUGGUGGGUUCGAGAGAGAAUUUUUAUAGGAACUUGAUGUUCCUUAUCCAUAUGGCAUUCACAUAAAAGAGCUAAUAUCUUAAGAUAACUUUGAUAUUGUUGGAUUUUUUUUUAUCAUGUUUUGGUUGUAUAAUUACAUUUUAAUAUUCAUGGAUGCCUGGAUCCACACAAACAAACAAACAAACACACAAACAAACACACACACACACACAUUUAUUCGAUCAUUUUUUUAUUUUUUUUCUAAGAGGUCAAAGUCUGUAGCAUUAAAAUGCAUUGAUUGAUUGAUGUUUAACCAUUUUCAGCACUAUUGGCUAUUCCAUGGCGGUCAGUUUUUAUUGCAAGAGAAUGCUAGAGUGCCCGACCUUCUUAGGAAACUGACAAUCCUAAUCAAUUAAGUUUAAAGUCGAGCUCACCCACUACGAGCGGAAUUCGAAACUGAAAACCUCAGUCUUGACAUAUUUGGGAUACAAUAAUUUGAAUGUUAACACAACUCAGUCCCUGAAUACAACAUAACCUCCAGUGAAUAUACCUUCCCUUUAUAACGUUAUAUGUAAGAGGGGACAUAAACUUUUUCUCAUGUCCCAAUUUAUGUAUUUUUAUAUUAUUCCUUCCGCUUUGUUCAGAUUGGAAAAGUGAACUGAGGAUGAUGAAAAUGUUCUCAUUUAAGUCUUAUUUAAUGAUGCCCAGUCAACAAGAAGAAUGCUGUUGAUCUUCAAAAAAUCAAUUAAUAGUAUGUAAAGUUUUAAAAGUUUUCAAAUUAUUUUUAUUCUCCUGAUUUUAAUGAGAAGAAGUUUGAACGAUAAUUAUCAGCAAUAAAAGCGAACAAAUCGUCCGAUUAGUCAAUAUAUCGUAUUUACUUUGAUUAUUACGUAUACUGUACUGCUAAAAAUUGUUUUAUUUUGUAAAUUUUUUUUCAACAACUAAUGAUACAUCUUCGGAUAAUUAAGGCCAUGAUGUAUUUUUGACAUAUGUUUUCCAGUUCUUGCUGUCAGAACUUUUCCGCUCCGAGUAUAGAUUCAAUAUAAAUUUUGAAAUCAUGAGCAAAACUACUGGUAGGGCGGACUCUGUAGCUAUCAAGUAUAGAAAGUAAUCAUGCUUGUGACAAAAUAGUCUCUUUGACCUCAUCACAUGUCGGAUUUAUUUGUUUGCAGUAGCUUGCAUCAAACGAGUCUUUAUGUUUGUUGUAGAUUGUAUUCGAGUUUCAUUCCAGUUAUUCUUUAUGACUGGCGUGUCAAUGUUAAGCAAUGGGAUUGGAUGCUCUUCUUAUCAGUUUUUUUUUUAUUUGUAAAGAUGAUUCAUUAUCUUGAUCUGUUAUGUCAGACUUCAAAUCGUAUUUAUGUAUUU